AGUUAACCAGCUCAGCAAACCAGAGCCUGAGAUAAUGGGCUAAGCUCUUUGUGUGUCUUGAAAGAAAACUGGUUGCAAUCCAGUAGGAAGCUACAACUUGGUGCCAGACUCCUAAGCUACCUCCCAAAGAGACGAGGAUAGAAGGAACCAUCCAUCUUGAGGUUCACAUUCCAAAGAGAAGUCUCUGAGGCCUUCAAGAAGGACAUUCUGGGAAGUGAAAGUGAGACACCAACCACGGCCUCACUCUGUGCUCUUGGGUGUCAGGAGGUACACCAAAAUAGUAUCAGACCUGCACAGAACUGAAGAGAUGCUAAUCUUGCUCCUGUAUCUCCUUACUCUUUGGCUGGGAAAACACCCAGCAUAAUGUUACCUUUUGGACUUUAAAUGGACAGUAUUUAAAAGGAUUAUCCCCAUGCCUGUGUCAAUUGGACUGGG
rnacentral:lncRNA from 1 species